ACGCUGGCGGCGUGCCUAAUACAUGCAAGUAGAACGCUGAAGAAGGAGCUUGCUCUCUCCGGAUGAGUUGCGAACGGGUGAGUAACGCGUAGGUAACCUGCCUGGUAGCGGGGGAUAACUAUUGGAAACGAUAGCUAAUACCGCAUAACAGUAGAUAUCGCAUGAUAGCUGCUUGAAAGGUGCAAUUGCACCACUACCAGAUGGACCUGCGUUGUAUUAGCUAGUUGGUGAGGUAACGGCUCACCAAGGCAACGAUACAUAGCCGACCUGAGAGGGUGAUCGGCCACACUGGGACUGAGACACGGCCCAGACUCCUACGGGAGGCAGCAGUAGGGAAUCUUCGGCAAUGGACGGAAGUCUGACCGAGCAACGCCGCGUGAGUGAAGAAGGUUUUCGGAUCGUAAAGCUCUGUUGUAAGAGAAGAACGAGUGUGAGAGUGGAAAGUUCACACUGUGACGGUAUCUUACCAGAAAGGGACGGCUAACUACGUGCCAGCAGCCGCGGUAAUACGUAGGUCCCGAGCGUUGUCCGGAUUUAUUGGGCGUAAAGCGAGCGCAGGCGGUUAGAUAAGUCUGAAGUUAAAGGCUGUGGCUUAACCAUAGUACGCUUUGGAAACUGUUUAACUUGAGUGCAAGAGGGGAGAGUGGAAUUCCAUGUGUAGCGGUGAAAUGCGUAGAUAUAUGGAGGAACACCGGUGGCGAAAGCGGCUCUCUGGCUUGUAACUGACGCUGAGGCUCGAAAGCGUGGGGAGCAAACAGGAUUAGAUACCCUGGUAGUCCACGCCGUAAACGAUGAGUGCUAGGUGUUAGACCCUUUCCGGGGUUUAGUGCCGCAGCUAACGCAUUAAGCACUCCGCCUGGGGAGUACGACCGCAAGGUUGAAACUCAAAGGAAUUGACGGGG
rnacentral:rRNA from 1 species